rnacentral:rRNA from 1 species
GACGAACGCUGGCGGCGUGCCUAAUACAUGCAAGUAGAACGCUGAAGAGAGGAGCUUGCUCUUCUUGGAUGAGUUGCGAACGGGUGAGUAACGCGUAGGUAACCUGCCUUGUAGCGGGGGAUAACUAUUGGAAACGAUAGCUAAUACCGCAUAACAAUGGAUGACACAUGUCAUUUAUUUGAAAGGGGCAAUUGCUCCACUACAAGAUGGACCUGCGUUGUAUUAGCUAGUAGGUGAGGUAAUGGCUCACCUAGGCGACGAUACAUAGCCGACCUGAGAGGGUGAUCGGCCACACUGGGACGGAGACACGGCCCAGACUCCUACGGGAGGCAGCAGUAGGGAAUCUUCGGCAAUGGGGGCAACCCUGACCGAGCAACGCCGCGUGAGUGAAGAAGAUUUUCGGAUCGUAAAGCUCUGUUGUAAGUCAAGAACGGGUGUGAGAGUGGAAAGUUCACACUGUGACGGUAGCUUACCAGAAAGGGACGGCUAACUACGUG